GCGGGAUGAUAGUAGAGGUAGCUAGUCAGGCUCAUAACCUGAAGGUCGUCGGUUCGAAUCCGACUCCCGCUA
rnacentral:tRNA from 1 species